GGGCGGGUAGCUCAGGUGGCGAGAGCGCGGUCCUGAUAAGACCGAGGUCCCUGGUUCGAAUCCAGGCCCGCCCACCA
rnacentral:tRNA from 1 species